rnacentral:tRNA from 1 species
UAGGGCGUAGUUCAAUUGGUAGAGCACCGGUCUCCAAAACCGGGUGUUGGGAGUUCGAGUCUCUCCGCCCUGCC